rnacentral:rRNA from 1 species
AGAGUUUGAUCCUGGCUCAGGACGAACGCUGGCGGCGUGCUUAACACAUGCAAGUCGAACGGUUGUAGCAAUACAGCAGUGGCAAACGGGUGAGUAACGCGUAAGUAACCUACCCUACAGACGGGCAUAACCUGUCGAAAGACGGGCUAAUUCCCGAUACCCUUAAAGUUUCGCAUGAGACUUUAAGGAAACGGUGCAAACCGCUGAAGGAUGGGCUUGCGGCCUAUCAGCUAGUUGGUGAGGUAACGGCUCACCAAGGCAACGACGGGUAGCUGGUCUGAGAGGACGAUCAGCCACAAUGGAACUGAGACACGGUCCAUACUCCUACGGGAGGCAGCAGUGAGGAAUUUUCCGCAAUGGGCGAAAGCCUGACGGAGCGACGCCGUGUGUGUGAUGAAGUCUUUCGGGAUGUAAAGCACUGUCAGGGGGGACGAUAUUGACUGUACCCCCAGAGGAAGGCCCGGCUAACUACGUGCCAGCAGCCGCGGUAAUACGUAGGGGCCAAGCGUUGUCCGGAAUUACUGGGCAUAAAGGGUUCGUAGGCGGCUUAAUAAGUCAGGUGUCAAAUUUCCCAGCUCAACUGGGAACCUGCACUUGAUACUGUUUUGCUAGAGAGUGUCAGAGGAGAGCGGAACUUCCGGUGUAGCGGUGAAAUGCGUAGAUAUCGGAAGGAACACCAGUGGCGAAGGCGGCUUUCUGGGGCACAUCUGACGCUGAGGAACGAAAGCUAGGGGAGCAAACGGGAUUAGAUACCCUGGUAGUCC